rnacentral:rRNA from 1 species
AGAAUCAACGCUGGCGGCGUGCCUCAGACAUGCAAGUCGAACGCGAAAGUCCCCUUCGGGGGACAAGUAGAGUGGCGCACGGGUGAGUAACACGUAGGUAAUCUACCUUCGGAUGGGGAAUAACAACCGGAAACGGUUGCUAAUACCGCAUAAUGCAGCGGCACCUAAUGGUGACAGUUGUUAAAGCGGGGGAUCGAAAGACCUCGCGUCUGAAGAGGAGCCUGCGGCGGAUUAGCUAGUUGGUAGGGUAACGGCCUACCAAAGGCGACGAUCCGUA